UGGGGAACAUGAGAGCCAGACCAAAGCUCAGAGGAACCCACCUGGACCUCCACCCAGCUCUGUGUCCUAUGAAAGUAACCGUGUCAAAGAUGUCAUUAA